AUCCAAUCAGAAAGAGGUGCGCUGGACCUGAUAAAUGCCAUCGGCUGUCCCGCCUCCUGGCUCACUUGUUCCCUUGUCAUAUGAACCGUCUUCCACCGCUACAGCAUCACUAAUCCACCACAACCCGCGAAGAUGGCUACUCGGACCAUGCAAGCAGCACGAUGCCCGACAGAUGAGCUGUCACUGACAAAUUGUGCUGUGGUCAGCGAGAAGGAUCUGCAGUCCGGACAACAUGUGACUGUGAAGACCACACCCAACCACAAAUUUGUGUUUACGGUCAAGACCCACCACACGGUGGCGCCUGGUUCAAUUGCUUUCAGUCUCCCACAGCGAAAAUGGGCGGGUCUCUCCAUUGGCCAGGAGGUGGAAGUGUCCAACUACAACUUUGACAAGUCCAAGCAGUGCAUCGGUGCCAUGACAAUCGAAAUCGACUUCCUGCAGAAGAAGAGUACCGACUCCUCACCUUAUGACUCCGACAAGAUGGCUGCCGAGUUCAUCCAGCAGUUCAACAGCCAGGGUUUCUCUGUCACACAGCAGCUGGUGUUCAGUUUCUGUGACAAACUCUUUGGACUGGUUGUCAAAGAUAUUGAGGCCAUGGAUGCCAGCAUCCUUAAAGGUGAAGCAGCCUCUGGAAAGAAACCACAGAAGAUUGACAUUGGGCUCCUGGUGGGUAACAGCCAGGUGAUUUUUGAGAAGGCAGAGAGUUCCUCCUUAACACUUGUUGGCAAGGCAAAAACCAAGGAGGCACGUCAGACAAUCAUCAACCCAGAUUGGAACUUUGAGAAAAUGGGAAUUGGAGGUCUGGACAAAGAAUUCUCCGACAUUUUCCGCAGAGCCUUUGCUUCUCGAGUCUUCCCGCCUGACAUUGUGGAGCAGAUGGGUUGCAAGCACGUGAAGGGAAUCCUGCUCUUCGGACCUCCAGGCUGUGGUAAAACCCUCAUGGCCAGGCAGAUUGGUAAAAUGCUGAACGCCCGCGAGCCAAAGAUUGUCAACGGUCCAGAAAUCCUAAACAAGUAUGUGGGAGAGUCUGAGGCCAACAUCCGCAAGUUGUUUGCUGAGGCAGAGGAGGAGCAGAAGCGGCUGGGAGCCAACAGCGGCCUUCAUAUCAUCAUUUUUGAUGAGUUGGAUGCCAUUUGCAAGCAGAGAGGCACAGGCGCUAGCAGCACAGGCGUACACGACACUGUGGUCAACCAGCUCUUGUCCAAGAUUGAUGGUGUGGAGCAACUUAAUAAUAUCCUGGUCAUCGGGAUGACCAACAGGCCUGACCUGAUUGACGAUGCCCUCAUGAGGCCUGGCAGGUUUGAAGUCAAGAUGGAAAUUGGUCUUCCUGAUGAGAAAGGUCGUGUGCAGAUUCUCACUAUUCACACGAACAAGAUGCGAAGCUUCAACCUGCUGGCUGGCGAUGUCAACAUACCAGAGCUGGCAGCUGAAACCAAGAACUACAGCGGUGCAGAGCUGGAGGGGCUGGUCAGAGCCGCACAGUCCACCGCCAUGAACCGACACAUCAAGGCUACAUCCACAGUUGAGGUGGACAUGGAGAGGGCAGAGAAGCUGCAGGUCACAAGAGAUGACUUCAUGGGAUCCCUCAACAAUGACAUUAAACCUGCAUUUGGUACAAACCAGGAGGAUUACUCCAGCUACAUCAUGAACGGCAUCAUCAAAUGGGGUGACCCAGUUACACACGUGCUAGAUGAUGGAGAGCUGCUGGUACAGCAGACCAAGAACAGUGACCGCACACCACUGGUGGCUGUCUUACUCGAGGGUCCACCUCACAGUGGAAAGACAGCUCUGGCAGCCAAGAUUGCAGAGGACUCACAGUUCCCUUUCAUUAAGAUCUGUUCUCCGGACAAGAUGAUUGGACACUCGGAGAUCUCCAAGUGUCAGGCCAUCAAGAAGGUCUUUGAUGACGCUUAUAAGUCCCAGUUGAGCUGCGUGGUGGUUGAUGACAUCGAACGCCUGCUGGACUACGUCCCCAUCGGCCCUCGUUUCUCCAACCUGGUCCUCCAAGCUCUGUUGGUGCUCUUGAAGAAAGCACCUCCCAAGGGUCGGAAGCUCCUCAUCAUCGGCACCACCAGCAGGAAGGACGUCUUACAAGAGAUGGAGAUGUUGGAUGCCUUCAGCACUACCAUCCACAUCCCGAACAUCUCUACUGGAGAGCAGCUUGUUGAUGCUUUGGAGCUGUUGGGGAGCUUCACGGAUAAAGAGAGGGCCAGCAUUGCACACCAGCUUAAAGGAAAGCGAGUUUGGAUUGGCAUCAAGAAGCUGCUUGUGCUUAUCGAGAUGUCACUGCAGAUGGACCAAGACUACAGAGUGACGAAGUUCCUGUCCCUGCUGCGAGAUGAGGGGGCGUUGAACGAAGGAAAUCAAAUCCGAAUUUAAGCUGUCAGUCAGUGGCUCUCUCUGUGCACUGGGUCACAUGGGACGUUCUGGGACCACCACCGAAUCGCGAAAAACUCGACCGCAGCUUCUACGAGUAGAGCUGAGCCAUUCCGUCGUCAACAAGCCGCCAAUGUGAUGCAAUGAGGAAGAGGAGGAAAUCAAGAUGUCUGUCCGCCAAGUCAUCCCUCUGACACCUAGCAAAAGACUACACAAUCCGUCCCUUAUCUCCGCAUGUUUCUGUCGGCAAUAUCACUGUAUCACGAGUCAUGUGUCAUCCUUAUCACCAAAGUAUAUUUGUGAGCAUAUCUCUGCAAUGCCUGUGAAUAUUCUCAUUCAUCCAGGUCAUUCGUGCUUUCAGGGCAUUGAAUCCACUGUUCAGGUUGUCUUAGAAGACAUUUCGCCUCCAUCAAUUCAUGCACAAAGACUAGGAAGGACAGCUCUAGUUUGUGCGACACUAAACUUGAACUCAAAGACUAGAAAGGACAGCUCUAGCCUGUGCUAUAGUAGAUUAGCGCUCAAAGACAAAUGGGACAGCUCGAGUCUGUCUCAAACUACAUAAGAGCUCAACAAUAAAUAGGACAGCUCUAGUCUGUCGUGAACUAGACUAGAAAUCAAAAACUAGAUAUGACAGCUCUAGCUUGUUACAACCCAGACUAAAACUCAGUGACUAAAUAGGACAGCUCUGGUCUGUCCCAUAUUAGAAUAAAGCUCAAAUACUAGAUAGGUCAGUUCUCGUCUGUUUUAUACUAGAGCUCAAGACUAGAUAGGCCAAUUCUCAUCUGUCUGAUACUAAAUUAUGGCUUAAAGACUAGAUAGGACAACUCUGGUCUGUCCUAUAACAACUGGAGCUCAAAUACUAGAUAGGACUACUCUAGUUUGUCCUAUACUUGCCUAGUGCUUAAGGAGCCAGAUAGGACAACGCUUGUCUAUCCUACACUGGACUGGAGCUCAAAGACUACAUACAACAGCUCUAGUCUGUCCUAUACUAGGCUACUGAUUACAGACCAGAUAGGACAGCUCUCAUCUGUUCUAUACUAGCUAGAGCUCAGAGACUAGAUAGGACAGCUCUUGUGUGUCCUACACUAGACAAGAGCUCAAAGACUAGAUAUGACAGCUCAAGUCUGUCCUAUACUAGACUACUGCUUAAAGACUAGAUAGGAUAGCUCUCAUCUAUCCUAUACUAGCUAGAGCUCUGAGACUAGAUAGGUCAGCUUUUGUGUGUCCUAUACUAGACAAGUGCUCCAAGACUAGAUCAGCUCUAGUCUGUCCUAUACUAGACUAGUGCUUAAAGACUAGAUAGGACAGCUCUCAUCUGUCCUAUACUAGCUAGGGCUCUGAGACUAGAUAGGACAGCUUUUGUGUGUCCUAUACUAGACAAGUGGUCCAACACUAGAUCAGCUCUAGUCUCUCCUAUACUAGACCAGUGCUUAAAGACUAGAUAGGACAGCUCUCACCUGUUCUAUACUAGCUAGAGCUCUGAGACUAGAUAGGACAGCUUUUGUGUGUCCCAUACUAGACAAGAGCUCCAAGACUAGAUCAGCUGUAGUCUGUCCUAUACUAGAGCUGUCCUAUGUAGUCUUGGAGCAUGAACUGAUGAAGCCUGCUCGAACAAGAAGCAAAAUGUCUUGUAAGACAGCCUGAACAGUCCAGCUGUGAUCGAUCCAAUACCCUGACAAUACAUCUGGAAUCUACUGGAAGUUGUACUGUUCUAAAACUUAUCUGUAAAGAUAUUGCAAUAGAUUGUAAAAAGUGCUGUUUUUGUGCAUCAUGCUUAAAAAAAAAAGCUAUGUGUGUUGGUAGCUUUUUGUAUAGUAUGUGUUGUAUUUGUACUGUAGCUGUGCUAAAUUAUAGUAAGUAUGACUUCAAACAAGGCAGUGCAAACAGAAUGCAUUGACAAUAGACACAAAUACAGAUUGUUUACUGAACAUGUAGUGGCUAAAACAAACGUGUAAAUGUAAACCCUUUAAAUGUGUGUCAUUUCUUCAUGUGUUAAGGUCAGGGUUAAGCCCAAAGUACAAAGUAUAUAUGAACAUACAGCAGUAUAUUGAGAGUCAUUCUAGUGAUACCUGUAGUAUGUACUGUAUAUACAGUAUGUUCACCUCCAGGGAUCCUGACUUCACCAGGUGGCUGUUACAGUGAAAGUGAGUGUUGGAUUGUUGGCUGUUAUGUGCAGUUCUGUACAGUUUAGUCGAGCUAGUGCAGCUUUGGCAUUGUCAGUGUUCAAUUUUAAAAAAAAAUCUGCACUUUUGAGAUGGAAAUGAAACAACAACUGAACAAAAAAAACAACUCCACAAAAACAUGAGUACUUAUUGUAAUGGUCCGUCAUAAAAACUUGAGCUUUUUGUGCAUGUGUGGGAACCUAAACGCUGCAUGUGUCCAAUGAGCAUAUGGUGUGUGUGUGUGUGUGUGUGUGUGUAUCAUCUAUUUCCAACUUGGUGCUUUUUAUUGUGUUUUUUUCACAAAGUGAGUACACAACUUACAUUUGGGUAACUUUUCAAGAGGCAAUAGUAUAGGAAUGAGGCUUGAAUAUACUUUAGAGUAGUCAGUGUAAAGCUUGACCAGCAGUAUUUACCAUAGUACUGUCUAUUUUGUUGCCAGCUAUUUAGAUAAUAAUGACUGUAUUGUCAUUUUUAGUGGAUAGUAAAUCUUUACUGCUACACUGACUACUAAAUGUGAGCGUUGUAUUCACUUUUGUGAGAUAGUAUAUGUGUUUAGUGUUCAAGGUUUUUGUGUUCUAACCAGUGACGUGUGUGUGUGUGUGUGUGUGUGUGUGGGCGUGCGCGCAUGUGUAAAUAUAUAUAUAUACACAUAUGUCUAUUUCCAGAUGAAUUAUUGCAAUAAAAAGCAGUGAUGCACAGAAACAAAGA